CAAACCGCGAGAUCAUGACGUGAGCCGAGACCCAGAGUCAGUUGCUUAACAGGACUGAGCCACCCAGGCGCCCCAGCGUUCUAUUUCAUUACCGCUGUUGAGAAUCUCUUACUGCGCCUGAUGUGUAAGUUCAAGUUCAUCACAGAUAUUUAUAUACUUGGAGGUGAUGAAAGGUCUGAUUUUUCCGGAUGUCGGAAACGGAGUUGCUGUGACACGGAGUCAUGAACGGCGGUGUUGAGUUCAUGGUGGAUUCUAUCCCCAGUGCGCCCAGAGAGUUCAAUUAGACAAUCAUUGUGCAUAAGUCAGCGCUCCCAUGGAGCAACACUGACUCAAGCGGGGAAGCCUUGAAGCGAUCCAUCAUCAGUCAUGACGUUGCUUCCUAGCUUUCGAAUACUGUGUAGACUUCAAACCAGAAGGAUUCAGAACUGUUGUCAAUAUAUUCUUUUUAUGGAAAGCCAACUUUCCCCCCUGUAAUUUUCCCAGUCAAAUUUAAGAACAAAAACCACGAAGCAUACCAGUAGAACUCCAUUGUGGGGGGCGGCGGAAAUCAAUUUAAAAAAGUGUAAUGUG